rnacentral:rRNA from 1 species
UACGUAGGGGGCUAGCGUUGUCCGGAAUCAUUGGGCGUAAAGCGCGUGUAGGCGGUCCGGUAAGUCCGCUGUGAAAGUCGGGGGCUCAACCCUCGGAUGCCGGUGGAUACUGUCGGGCUUGAGUACGGAAGAGGCGAGUGGAAUUCCUGGUGUAGCGGUGAAAUGCGUAGAGAUCCGGAGGAACACCAGUGGCGAAGGCGACACGCUGGGCCGUACCUGACACUGAUGCGCGACAGCAUGGGGAGCAAACAGG